AACGAACGCUGGCGGCAUGCCUAAUACAUGCAAGUCGAACGAUCACUUCGGUGGUAGUGGCGCACGGGUGCGUAACGCGUGGGAAUCUGCCCUUGGGUUCGGAAUAACGUCGGGAAACUGACGCUAAUACCGGAUGAUGACGUAAGUCCAAAGAUUUAUCGCCCAGGGAUGAGCCCGCGUAGGAUUAGCUAGUUGGUGGGGUAAAGGCCUACCAAGGCGACGAUCCUUAGCUGGUCUGAGAGGAUGAUCAGCCACACUGGGACUGAGACACGGCCCAGACUCCUACGGGAGGCAGCAGUAGGGAAUAUUGGACAAUGGGGGCAACCCUGAUCCAGCAAUGCCGCGUGAGUGAUGAAGGCCUUAGGGUUGUAAAGCUCUUUUACCCGGGAUGAUAAUGACAGUACCGGGAGAAUAAGCCCCGGCUAACUCCGUGCCAGCAGCCGCCGCCG
rnacentral:rRNA from 1 species